UACAGAGGUCCCGAGCGUUAGGCGGAAUCACUGGGCUUAAAGCGUGUGUAGGUGGAUCGUUAAGUACCUUGUGAAAUCCCACGGCUUAACCGUGGAACUGCUUGGUAUACUGGCGGUCUUGAGCCAGCUAGGGGCUACCGGAACAAAUGGUGGAGCGGUGAAAUGCGUAGAUAUCGAUCGGAACACCCGUGGCGAAGGCGGCUUGCUGGCUCGCAACUGACGCUGAGGCGCGAAAGCGUGGGGAGCAAACAGG
rnacentral:rRNA from 1 species